UUCCUGGUGCGAGCACGGACGCCGUAGCCAUGGUAGGGAUAUGGUUUCGCGGGCGCGGGCCGGAGACUGGCGUGCGUCCAUCGCCCCUCGCCCUGCAACAUUCACGCAUCUGCCUAAAACUGGAGAAAUUAUUGCAUGCACCAGGUGCAAGUGAAUCUGGGCAAAUCCCGGAGCAUAUGUACAGUGGAGAGCGCGCAAAUCUGUGAAAUACAAGGGUUCGCGUGGCGUGUUAUCCACCGUGGGAUUUGCGCGGUCCAAUUACACUUGGUGGAUGCAAUCGGAAGGCCUAAAACCAAGGGGUGGCA
rnacentral:lncRNA from 1 species